rnacentral:sRNA from 1 species
UACAAAACGAUGGUGCAUUAUUCUAGUCAUACUGUCUAUUAUGAGGGUGGGGCUAAAAAUCCACUAAAGGGCACAUCAGUGAAGUUUCUUAUUUAUGCGCGAAAUGCCAGUUUUGUGUGUAUGUAGGGAGUAAAGAAUAUAGGGUAAUAUGUAAUGGCAUAUAUAGGAUUCCCUAUUUUCGCGGAGGCUUAAUAAAAAUUCUAAAUAUAUCCUUUUAGAAAGCAAUUUAAGUAUAACCUAUGUUGAGUGCCAAGACACAAAAUACAUAGUGUAGCCUGUUUUGAGUGAAGGUAUCGGGAUUAACUUAAAACUCAAUUAAAAAUUAGGCCAAUUUUUAAUUGAAUUAUACAAAAACUUGUAUUUAGAGUUAUGAAAUUAUUUUUGCGAAAGAAACUAGUAAUAGGUAGCAGUAUUUAAAGGAAAACUUCUAGGAUGUUUGCUUUAAUCUAUAAGCAAGGAAAUCUAGGGAUUAAGGUACGGAUUUUAAGUGGCGAUCUGGUUUCUAACUAUUAUAUAUAAUUGUUUUUUUAAUUAUAAAUAGUAGUAAGAUAUUUUCUUUAAAUGGAAACGGCUAAACAGUAAUGUUUAGUAGAAAAUAGAGAAAUUCUUCUAGACCUAAACCGUAAAAUUUACUUAGGUUUUUACCAUCUAAAAAAUAU